rnacentral:rRNA from 1 species
UACGUAGGGGGCUAGCGUUGUCCGGAAUCAUUGGGCGUAAAGCGCGUGUAGGCGGCCCGGUAAGUCCGCUGUGAAAGUCGGGGGCUCAACCCUCGGAUGCCGGUGGAUACUGUCGGGCUCGAGUACGGAAGAGGCGAGUGGAAUUCCUGGUGUAGCGGUGAAAUGCGCAGAUAUCAGGAGGAACACCAAUGGCGAAGGCAGCUCGCUGGGACGGUACUGACGCUGAGACGCGAAAGCGUGGGGAGCAAACAGG